CAUCUGCAACCAAGUCAUUCAGGCAUUUGAUGAACUGAGGAAAGUUAGAGCGAAAGGUGGAGGAUAUUUUCAAUCGCGCACCUGUUUCAGAUCUUCCUCGUAAUCCUCCAAGUCGAAGUUUAUAUCUGCAUCGACACCACGGAACUUGAUUGCUGCUCGGUCGUAUGCUCUGCGAUGAAAUUAUUGUGUCAAAUGCUGGAAUGGAAACUGGAGUUAUAGUUUGGGGGAGGAGAUAGUCUUACCUUGCAGCAGCAUGAGCAGUGUCGAAACCGCCUGUAGAUGAAGAUCCAAAAAUCCCUGCAGAGUAAAAUGGAGAAACAGAGAUGAAUGAAGAAGCUCACAAGACCAGGAAAAAGAUCCAAUUUUUAUGGUUUGGGAGAAAGAAAGCUGACCAUAUGUGGGAUUCCCACCGGCCGGUCCGCCGGUAGAAGGUGACGCCGCGGUACUGGGAGCUCCUCGACCGUGGCCCGCGGCGGCUCUUCUUCACUGGCUGCGGCACUUCCGUCGGCUGUCCGACCACCACCCGCUCCGUCGAGUGGCAAAACCUCAGAGCGCCGGCCCAUUGAGCGCCAGGGGGCGGCGGCGUAGGCAGAGUACGGCCGCCGCCGCCCCCAUCGCCGCCGACCGAAGGAAAGAACUGCCGAGUGACGACGGCCGGAGGUUCGCUCUCCUCGCCGCAGUGGGAGAUGGGAAACCCGAAGAUCUUACCGGCGCAGCAACACGCCUCGCCCUCGUCCCCGACAGAUCCUCCGGCGUUGGACUCAUUGAUCUCGACGUCGGCGGAGACGUCCCUGGCCGGAUUGCUCUUAUCCUCCUCUCCGCCGGGAGACGACGCCUCCACCAGGUCGCCAUCGUCAUCCUCCUCCAACGAGGCAACACUAUUAAGAUCCCAAGACCCUUUCAUCCACCUAAAAAUCCCUCCUUUAUCUCCUUUCCACCCUCAAACUCCAAUCUUUCUUCUCAAAACAAUCGAUUUAAAGGCGGCGUCAGUAGCAGCAGCCGCUUUACCAAACUUGUGCCACUCAAAGCAAAGCAGCAGGAAGAAAGGAACACACACCAUGCAUACAUCAAAAAAGGAUUCGUCUUUCACCAAAGUGUCGAACUGUAGAACAAGGGAAAAGACAGAAACCCUCGCUGUGCCAUCUGCAUCAGUAUCACAACGCUUACUCAUGUUAUUUACUGUCGAAAACACAGACACAGUACAGAGCCCCUCUCUGACGUGCCGAUAUGAUUAGUGACUUACUGAAAUUUGGAAAUUAAGUAAAUAAUGUUAUAGGUGAUGAAGGUGAGAUUGACUUAAAAGCUAUACGUGGAGAUGGCGCUGACGGUAUGCAAGAGGAGGGCGUCCGAGUAGCAACCUGUCCAUUCUUGAACAAGUGGAAGUCGAAUGGCCAAGAAGCAUCUGAAGAAGCUUUUUAUAAUAUUCAUCAAAAGUGUCCAGCUAGUGAUCUGGUGCCAGUUUGUGGUCCUCUGCAUGACUCAGUUUAGGAAUCAGCAACAUGCCUCAACUUGGACCAACUUGUCACCUAACCUACUCAACCCACUGGAUUUCUACUAUUUCCUUGGAACAGACAAAUAGAUCCUAUAGAGGAGGAACUCCUUGUAGAAUUCUCCUAGCUGAUUACGAAGAGGCUCGAGAGUAUUGUUCUUUGUACAUGUCGAUGUAUAUCCCCAGAUACAAUGAGUAACCUAACAGCCGCGCGUUUGCAGCUUUGAAUCAUCACUGGGAGCAGCAUGGCAAACAACUGCAAAUGCAAGUAAUAAAUGGCUGUAAAACCUACACAGAAAAUUGAAUAGCAUGUCAGCUGUUGAUAAUUAAUUGCAUGACCAACAUAUGACAUUGCCAUAACUGGGAGAAAACUGACAUAUCUGCUUGGAGUGAACUGUACUCUUCACUGUCACUUGGCCCUGCACUCUUCAAUGCAAAGACAAGAGUUGAUGAACAGAGAGAAGAAAGUAAGGCUUCAAGUUCGUGCAGUAAGGAUUGACUUAGUGUAUAUAUCACACAGAGGUAUUAGAUGACUUAUACCCUUUUCUCCGACAUGGGAAAACAGACCAAGAGCCACAUGAUGGAUGCAUGUAAUGCAGUGGUUGUCACAGAGAAAAACUGCACCAGAAGUUUACUGUUUUACCUGCAUUGCUUAUUGACUGACUAUAUUGCUAUUUGACUGCAGCCGAACAACACAAAUCUGAAACUUCAAUUCACUUUGAGCUUUCACUAACAUGCCUUGGAAGAUUGAAUUUAUUACUGUGUUGCUAUUUGAUCUGUCGUUUUCUCUGAACACUGCGUGCCUCUGGUCUUACCACUAUUUACCAAAUCGAGCACUCUGUUCAGGAAUAGAGCGGGCAUAAGUUGAUUUGCAAGUUAUAUUGCGCCCUGAUUCGGCCAGAAAACUUGAGUUGCUUGUCAUUACAGAUGAACUAGUGAAGUCAGCUUAUGAUCGGAUUUGUCAUCAAAAUUAACAUUUUUGGACACAGGAAAGCCUUGCAUGUUCUGCUAGAUACUUGUCAAAAUUAUCAAAUUUCAAAAGCCUGAUUUAGCUCUUGGAGGGGUUUUGAAGGAAGAUAAUAUUGCUGGGAAAAACUCAUUUUAUUAUAUUAGGAGGUUUUGAAAAAAUACAUAACGCUUAAAGAACAACUUCUGGAUUUCAUUGAAUGUUUGUAUCAGCAUAGCUUAUGUAAGCUCCAGAAUUUCUGAAUCAAUAAUGCAAUGCAUUGAAAUAACUGGUCACUGGAGAGGAAAGGCAUGGUGGAGGUAUCUUUUCAACAAUGUUUUCUGAAUCUGUCUUUUGGGUCAGUGAAGGCAUGAAAACUGAGACUCCAGUGAUUAUUCAAGAUGUGUUUGACUAAGAAUGGAAGAAACACUGAUGCAGGUUCAGAAAAUGGUCUAUAUAAUCUCCAACAAUGUCAGGUCCUAAAAACUGAAAUGGUACCAGCACCAGACAACGUCUAAUUAUCAAUCUAUAAUGGAGCCAAUGGUAAAAGUAUAGAUAAAAUAUUUGAGAUGUUACAGUAGGUAAACACAAUAUUCAUGUUUCUGUCAUCCAUCUUGAGGUUGUCUUUGCGGUCACUGAGCAUCUAAAUUUAUGCAUAUCCCCUACUGUAGUUCACUGCAGUAUGAUUAAAUGUAUUCUGUGUUAUGUUUAGGGUUCUUUGACUUUCAUUGAAUCACAGAUCUAAAUUUCUUUCGCAUGCUCCUCUUGUAGCUCCUUCAACUAUUAUUCAAUGCAUUUCUUGCUAUCUUAAAAUUGUGCUUACUCCCAGCAACUUGAGAGAUAAGAGGAAAGGACAUAAAAUUUUGAAGCACUUUCCUUCUAAUCUAAUGAGACUCUUUCAUCUUUAUCAAACAAUAACUUGUCGACAUAAUAAGAAAACUAUUUCUGCAGACUGAUUCCAAUCGUUGUGCUUCAAAUUUAACUCCUAUGAUCUCCUAAGCUGAAUUUGUGAGAUAAUACUAGCAAAUAGUUCCAACAACCAAGAAAGUCGAAUAAUAUUGCAUGUAGUUUCAAAGUAACAUUACUAGUACUUACUGCAAUGUACAUGCAUUAGUGCCUACAGUUACUAUAUGCUAGUUAAACACAUCAUUUUAUGCUACAAUAUACAUAUGUAUAUGCAGGUUCUCAUAAAGGAACUCCAAUAUUUACUUGCUAGAAACUUCAACUUGUGAAUGAUAAAUACAUGGGAGGUAAAAUUUUCCUACCCUUUGCAAACAAAGCUGAAGUAUGAUACACCACUGACAGUCUUGCUGUUCAUUUUCCUGUCUUUAGAACAAAAUAUUUUUUGUAUUCAUAGAAUCCUUACCACUUACAAAUUAAAUCAUGUGAAGUUACCUUGAUUCAAGUACCAAGUUCUCAUGACUCUGUGAUGCCUUUGAGAUGUGCUACCUUAUGUUGAAGGCUUUUUACAUUAUUUUCUGACUGAAGUGCAGAAAAGUUUCAGUACUCAGUAGCUUGCUUUCAGGGUGCAAACUAUUCCGCAAAGCUGAUCAUGAAAUACUUCCAUUAGUUGGGUACUCCACUAGAUGUUUUAAAGCCUGUAAACUUUUGCUAAUUACCUCUAGCAAAUCGAUGGAUGCAUUGUCAUAUUUUUAAUUAAUCAACUGCCAUUGUCGUAUAAGCUUCAUUCACCUAUCUGUUCACAUCAGCAAGAAACCUUUCCUCAGUAGUCAUCUGAUGAAUUCAAUGUUUCCGAAAUGUGUAUGUCAUUUAACCUACGAUCAUAUAUUAGCCUUGUGCAAUACCAAGGGAGGUCCUAACUGCUAAUACAUAGGUAAGAUUGCUCCAUCA